rnacentral:rRNA from 1 species
CCUACGGGGGGCUGCAGUGGGGAAUUUUGGACAAUGGGGGCAACCCUGAUCCAGCCAUGCCGCGUGCGGGAAGAAGGCCUUCGGGUUGUAAACCGCUUUUAGUCGGGAAGAAAAGGCGCGGCCUAAUACGUCGCGUUCUUGACGGUACCGGCGGAAUAAGCACCGGCUAACUACGUGCCAGCAGCCGCGGUAAUACGUAGGGUGCGAGCGUUAAUCGGAAUUACUGGGCGUAAAGCGUGCGCAGGCGGUUCGUUAAGUCUGAUGUGAAAGCCCCGGGCUCAACCUGGGAAUGGCAUUGGAAACUGGCGGGCUUGAGUGUGGCAGAGGGGGGUGGAAUUCCGCGUGUAGCAGUGAAAUGCGUAGAGAUGCGGAGGAACACCGAUGGCGAAGGCAGCCCCCUGGGCUAACACUGACGCUCAGGCACGAAAGCGUGGGGAGCAAACAGGAUUAGAUACCCCAGUAGUC